rnacentral:rRNA from 1 species
CCUACGGGUGGCAGCAGUGGGGAAUAUUGGGCAAUGGAGGCAACUCUGACCCAGCAACGCCGCGUGAAUGAUGAAGGUCUUCGGAUUGUAAAGUUCUGUGAUGGGGGAUGAACACAAUGACGGUCCCCCAAUAUCAAGCCACGGCUAACUACGUGCCAGCAGCCGCGGUAAUACGUAGGUGGCAAGCGUUAUCCGGAUUUACUGGGUGUAAAGGGCGUGUAGGCGGGACUGCAAGUCAGAUGUGAAAACCACGGGCUCAACCUGUGGCCUGCAUUUGAAACUGUGGGUCUUGAGUACUGGAGAGGCAGACGGAAUGCCUAGUGUAGCGGUGAAAUGCGUAGAUAUUAGGAGGAACACCAGUGGCGAAGGCGGUCUGCUGGACAGCAACUGACGCUGAGGCGCGAAAGCGUGGGGAGCAAACAGGAUUAGAUACCCGAGUAGUC